CCAAAAAAGCCUCUAGUGAGUGUUGUGGCGGCCCGUACCCUAAACCGACUCAGGUGGUCAGGUAGAGAAUACCAAGGCGAUCGGGUGAACUGUGGUUAAGGAACUCGGCAAAUUGCCCCCGUAACUUCGGGAGAAGGGGGACCUCUGCUGGUGAUGGGCUUUACGUUCUGAGCUGGUGGGGGUCGCAGUGGCCAGGGGGAAGCGACUGUUUACUAAAAACACAGGUCCGUGCGAAGUCGUAAGACGAUGUAUACGGACUGACGCCUGCCCGGUGCCGGAACGUUAAGGGGACCGCUUAGCCAGCUUCGGUUGGCGAAGGUGAGAACUUAAGCGCCGGUAAACGGCGGUGGUAACUAUAACCAUCCUAAGGUAGCGAAAUUCCUUGUCGGGUAAGUUCCGACCUGCACGAAUGGCGUAACGACUUCCCCGCUGUCUCAACCACAGACCCGGCGAAAUUGCACUACGAGUAAAGAUGCUCGUUUCGCGCAGCAGGACGGAAAGACCCCGGGACCUUCACUACAGCUUGACAUUGGCGUUUGGAACGUCUUGUGUAGGAUAGGUGGGAGACUAGGAAGCUGUCACGCUAGUGAUGGUGGAGUCAUUGGUGAAAUACCACUCUGGUCGUUUUGAACGUCUAACUCUGGUCCGUGAUCCGGAUCGGGGACAGUGUCUGGUGGGUAGUUUAACUGGGGCGGUUGCCUCCUAAAGAGUAACGGAGGCGCCCAAAGGUUCCCUCAGCCUGGUUGGCAAUCAGGUGUUGAGUGUAAGUGCACAAGGGAGCUUGACUGUGAGACUGACAGGUCGAGCAGGAGCGAAAGCUGGGACUAGUGAUCCGGCAUCGGCGUGUGGAAGCGGUGUCGCUCAACGGCUAAAAGGUACCCCGGGGAUAACAGGCUGAUCUUCCCCAAGAGUCCAUAUCGACGGGAUGGUUUGGCACCUCGAUGUCGGCUCGUCGCAUCCUGGGGCUGGAGUAGUCCCAAGGGUUGGGCUGUUCGCCCAUUAAAGCGGUACGCGAGCUGGGUUUAGAACGUCGCGAGACAGUUCGGUCCCUAUCCGCUGCGCGCGCAGGAGACUUGAAGGGGGCUGUCCCUAGUACGAGAGGACCGGGACGGACGAACCUCUGGUGUGCCAGUUGUACCGCCAGGUGCACGGCUGGUUGGCUACGUUCGGAAGGGAUAACCGCUAAAGCAUCUAAGCGGGAAGCUCGCCUUGAGAUGAGGUCUCCCACCCCGUGAGGGGGUAAGGCUCCCGGUAGAUCACCGGGUUGAUAGGCCGGAGGUGGAAGCACGGUAACGUGUGGAGCUGACCGGUACUAAUAGGCCGAGGACUUGACCAC
rnacentral:rRNA from 1 species